rnacentral:rRNA from 1 species
GAUGAACGCUGGCGGCGUGCCUAAUACAUGCAAGUCGAGCGAACAGACGAGGAGCUUGCUCCUCUGACGUUAGCGGCGGACGGGUGAGUAACACGUGGAUAACCUACCUAUAAGACUGGGAUAACUUCGGGAAACCGGAGCUAAUACCGGAUAAUAUAUUGAACCGCAUGGUUCAAUAGUGAAAGACGGUUUUGCUGUCACUUAUAGAUGGAUCCGCGCCGCAUUAGCUAGUUGGUAAGGUAACGGCUUACCAAGGCAACGAUGCGUAGCCGACCUGAGAGGGUGAUCGGCCACACUGGAACUGAGACACGGUCCAGACUCCUACGGGAGGCAGCAGUAGGGAAUCUUCCGCAAUGGGCGAAAGCCUGACGUAGCAACGCCGCGUGAGUGAUGAAGGUCUUCGGAUCGUAAAACUCUGUUAUUAGGGAAGAACAAAUGUGUAAGUAACUAUGCGCGUCUUGACGGUACCUAAUCAGAAAGCCACGGCUAACUACGU